GUGGGGAAUAUUGGGCAAUGGGGGAAACCCUGACCCAGCAACGCCGCGUGCAGGAAGAAGGCCUUCGGGUUGUAAACUGCUUUUGUACGGAACGAAACGGUCCUGGUUAAUACCUGGGGCUAAUGACGGUACCGUAAGAAUAAGCACCGGCUAACUACGUGCCAGCAGCCGCGGUAAUACGUAGGGUGCGAGCGUUAAUCGGAAUUACUGGGCGUAAAGCGUGCGCAGGCGGUGCUGUAAGACAGGCGUGAAAUCCCCGGGCUCAACCUGGGAAUUGCGCUUGUGACUGCAGUGCUGGAGUACGGCAGAGGGGGAUGGAAUUCCGCGUGUAGCAGUGAAAUGCGUAGAUAUGCGGAGGAACACCGAUGGCGAAGGCAGUCCCCUGGGCCUGUACUGACGCUCAUGCACGAAAGCGUGGGGAGCAAACAGGAUUAGAUACCCCGGUAGUCC
rnacentral:rRNA from 1 species